GGGGGGAUGGAGGGGUCCCCUCAGCCCAGAUUGCAAGACAGGGCAGGCCAGGCUGAGGGACCCUACCGGUACACA
rnacentral:pre_miRNA from 1 species